GAAUAUGAUGACAAUUUUGUCGCCCCAGUCUUACUUGUAUCUCUUGAUGCAACAUGGUGAUGGACAUUUUGUAUCUGAUUC